UUGGAGAGCUUCUGCUGAAGCUCAAUUUAAGCAAAGUACUGAUAACCGUGUUACCACAAAUGCUAGGGAGAUGUAGUUUGUUCGGCGUGAAAAUAUCGAAAUAGAAAUAAAAGAAAUAGAAAAAAAUAAAGUACAUAAAAAUUUCAAUGGUACGUCAGUAUUGAUCUACGUUCACGAACGAAGAUGGAGCAAUACAGAUUAAUUAUG
rnacentral:lncRNA from 1 species